AGCCUGUUGCUCACACAAAGCUUGUUUGGUGACCUCUUCACAUGGAUGUAUGAGACACAUGCAAUUGCCAAAAUGAUAUUUAAUAUUUUCCAGGUUAUAUUUUGGGCAAUAAUAUUAACAUAUAUUUCAAAAUCAUAUAGGAUUUCUAAGGUUCUAGUAUCUGAACAUGUGCUAUUAAUCACAAUUAAGUGUGUUAAGUUGGUUUAUGGUGAACCAUAAAAAUAACCAAAUUUGUCCAACAUGUUCUUGACUGUAACUACCCUGGAAAUUUUGUCAUUUACUGACAAUUUUUGUCUUGUUUCAAUCUUCUUCUUCUUAAAAAAAAAUAGAUUAUAAUCAGCUGUAGAACUUUAACAGGGAUUCUUUCAAAUGCUGGUUUCUAAUAACAGAAAAACUUACAGGACACAUGAAAAGUAGAAACUGAACUAGUAGAAAACUAAAGCAAUAUUCUUGACUUAUGCUUGGAACAUUGCUGAUUCUUAUUUUGUUUUUCAGAGUCAAGGACACUUGUCUUGAGCUAGCUACACCCUUUCACAACUCAGUAAGGG
rnacentral:lncRNA from 1 species